AGAAAUUUAAAUAUAAGUGCUCCCCUCUUAUAUAUACUUUAAGUUCAUGGAAAUUUUAGAUAUCCAAAUUUUAUAUAAUCAAAUUUACCUUAUGCAAAUUAAUGCAAAAAAACACUAUAUACACACUAUAUGUACAACCCAUCUAAAGACAGGAGACAAUAUAGCUAUCAUAAUACAAUGCAUGUAUACAAGUCACUUUAACUUUGCUAUCAAGAAUCAAUUAUCAAUAGUGUUAACUCUCAUUAAAACAGUUUAAGCAUUGUUAUAAUACUACAAUAUAAAUUCAAAUAUACUUACUGUAGGCAAAAUCUGCAUAAAUUAGGACCUCCUGUAUCAAUUUAAAUUAUUUUAAAUAUUCUAAUUAAAAAUAUCUAAUCUAUUUUGAAUAAAAGUAUAGCAAUUUUAAAAAAAAUUUGUUUAUGUAAUUUUAGAUAUUAUUUAUAGGCAGAGAUAAUACUGACUUUAUAGAUCUUUAUCUGACUUUUCCAUUAUGAUAAAUUUAUAUAAAAAAAUUCAG
rnacentral:lncRNA from 1 species